rnacentral:rRNA from 1 species
UACGUAGGGGGCGAGCGUUGUCCGGAAUCAUUGGGCGUAAAGAGCUCGUAGGCGGUUCAGUAAGUCGGCUGUGAAAUUCCGAGGCUCAACCUCGGAACUGCAGUCGAUACUAUUGUGACUAGAGUCCGGUAGAGGAGAAUGGAAUUCCCGGUGUAGCGGUGAAAUGCGCAGAUAUCAGGAGGAACACCGGUGGCGAAGGCGGGUCUCUGGGCCGAUACUGACGCUGAGGAGCGAAAGCGUGGGGAGCGAACAGG